UACGGAGGGUGCAAGCGUUGUCCGGAAUCACUGGGCGUAAAGGGCGCGUAGGCGGCCCGGUAAGUAGGGGGUGAAAUCCUGCGGCUUAACCGCAGGGCUGCCUUCUAAACUGUCGGGCUCGAGCACGGUAGAGGCAGAUGGAAUUCCCGGUGUAGCGGUGGAAUGCGUAGAGAUCGGGAAGAACAUCGGUGGCGAAGGCGGUCUGCUGGGCCGUUGCUGACGCUGAGGCGCGACAGCGUGGGGAGCAACAGGA
rnacentral:rRNA from 1 species